AUCCCACAUCCAAUUCCCUAUCAUAUACUCCUGCAGGUGAACCAUGAUGCUUUUUCUUCACAAAUCAUACACAUCAUCCUUCCAAGUGCCCAACUUCCUAAGCUUAUGUUUCUCUCUUCUAUCUACUCUGGCUAAAAUGCUCUAUAGCAAGCUUGUGGGUCUUUAAUCAAAUACAGCCUUGGAAUGUGUCCUUGGUCAUCAUCCAUGAGUUCUUAGGUAGGUUAGGAAGACAAAUCCUUCUCUUGAAUAUCAUCCAUAAUCUAUUCUUCACUGACUAUGAACUUGUCUUUUAACAGACUAACAGGGAAGAAGAAAAUUCUCUCUCUACUCAAGACUUUAAACUUCGUAUCCAAAACUGAAAAUCAUUUAGAAGCCCCAUUUCUCCUUUUCUCUUCCCAAAAUCUCUCCCUUCUUCCCUACUUCUACUUAGUGCUUCUCUUCAUUUGUAAUAUUACUUGUUCUGAGACUUAAAACACUACUCCAUAUAGGGCUGACCCUCUCUUACAGGUCUAAACUGUGACAUUUCUAUUACUGUUUUUAGUAUCCAUCACAGGUUUCCUUCUGCUGCAAUAUUUGCUUUUAUGUCCUUUCAACCUUGAGCUCCUUGAAGGCAAAGUUGCUAUCUCAUUUACUUUUGUCUCCCUAGUCCUGACACACAAUGGAUGCUAACUCCAUAUUUUUGAAGAAGGUAUGCAAAUCAGCAAAACUGAGUGUUUUCAGUCUUGUAGUCUAUUUUGCCAUGUUUUAAGUUUAUGAUCCCAGAUGGCAUCCCACCUCUGACUGAACCAUACUUGGUUGCCUAUGUCAUUGCCUUCCUUCUUCUCCCAACCUGCAAGAUACUCCUCUUUCCUGGGGGAUUAUCUGCAUUCCUAUCACCCCCACCCCAUGUGACUCGAGAAACACAGAUUCACCCUCUGUGUGAAGAAUCUCAUACUUGUGUAGCUCUAAUGAUGCAGAAAUUCUCCUUUCUCCAUGGUGUCAUAUGUCACCACCAAAAUGUUGAUUUCCUUUCAUUUUUAUGGACUCUUUCUUUUUAACUUUCUUAUUCAAUUUUAUCUACCAUCCCCUCUCGGAAGCCAUUAUUCACCCCUUCAAUACUCUACUACAGAAAGAUGUUCUCUAGCAGUGAGGCCAACUUGGAUGACUCACAGCAGAUGUAAUUGGUGAGCAAAAUGCAGUCAGACUGGUUUAAUCCACUUGCCAACUCUGUGACCUUCAGUAACCUCCUUAAAUUCUCUGUGCCUUAGUUCCUUUUCUGUAAAGUGUCUCGUAGGGCUGCUGUGAGCAUUAAAUAAUGCAUGUAAAACAGCACUUGGUAUACAAUUGGUAUAUGAUUGCAAAAUAAUUGUUUGCUCUCAUUGUUAUUCUAAACAAAGGCAACUCAAAGGCAGUACACAUCCUGCUGAUGCCCACACCCUCUUUUAAGCUCCACAUAAAUCCCAGAUACUUUAAUAAACAUAUGUUGUACACAACUUUUUUUUAGUCUUCUUGUCUCCUCCUUGUCCACUUGACUGCCAUCAUCUUCUAACUGCUGGGAAAGCCCUUGCCCAACAGAAAGUAACCUUCUGAGUCUGCCCAAGAGGAAAAUCAAAGUCACACAAGGAGGGAAAAAGAGCCCCACAUUAGAAGAGACAUUUAAAAGAGAGUAGUCAUGUUGACAUUAGAGAUCUCCCCAAGUUCAAUCUCUACCACCUCUCUGCAGGCCCUGGAUUUGAGCAGAACUGACCUGCCAGGCUGCUUAGCAUUUCUUCCAAGUGACAUGAAACCUCAAAGCUAAAAACUGUAGUGUCCAUGCCCUUAUGCUCUACUCUGGAGACUUAGGUUAAUGAUGAGCCAUUACCUUGGGUUUACUCUAAAUCACUCCUCUUGACCUAAUUAUAUGCCAAGGGGGAAAUCCAAUGUAUUUGAUCAAGUCUUGCUAGUAUUUUCCUUGUCUAAUUCCAUUAGUCUCAUUGAUACAAAAGGUUCCUAAAGCAAUUAAAGCAAGUGCUGUCCCCUGAGAGCUCUGGGAUGAAUAUCUCUUCCCUACUCUUCUCAGAACCUGGUUUCCCAUGGUGAAUAGCAUAGGCAGGGCUGGGCAGAGGACACCGCAUACAGGAAUGGUGUCUGUUGGUGCCAACAAAUUAGAAUCUGACGUCACUUCAAUUAAUGAUCAUCAGAAACUAAAGUAUAUCAGCUGAGAAAUGUGGAGGGAGGCCUGCCGUAUUCUUGGUGAGAUCAUUUUUCACAACUCUUUCUCCCAGAUGUUCAUUUCACAAACUAUAUACAUUUCAUUCAGUCUUACUACAAUUUAUUUACCUAGAGCUUCAGUGACCCACAAAAUGCCUUCAAAGUCAUUGGACCAUUUCAGAAGCUUCUAGUAGCCCAUUAGAAAUGUCAGUGCACACUCAACAAGCAGCCAGAUCCAAAUAUGCUGAAGCUUAACCUCAUUAAAAUGUUUCUACGACACAGGGUCAAACUUAUCUUGCCACGGACUCCCUUCCUCUCGCCAAUCGCUGAGAAACCAUUUUCUUUCUAAUUAAUUUCAUCUAGAUGAAACCUGCACAAAUGUCAGUGCAACAAAUUAAGACUUAUUGAUUAUUGGCUUUUUAAAAAUAGUUAAUGGUUCUGUCCAAAGAUGGAAUAUUUUAGGGACAUCAGCAAGACAUUUUAGCUUAGGCUGAUUUUGUUUUUUUGAACAAUGAAAAUAAUGUUGUAAGCAUCUUCCAUAACCUCAUUGUUCAUUUUCCCCCUAAAACUUUAUUCUUUUUUAUAGUCACAAAAUAUAAAUAGCUAGGAAACCACAUCUUAGAAUUUGCUGGAAGAACAAGUGCUACUCAUUUAUAUUUCAUAAAUGCUGCUCUGCAGCUUAUCCAUCUUGUUUCCCCCUUUUUCUCUCCCUUUAAACAUUGUAGAAUGUUAAGUUUGUUCACCAUGAUUGUUGAUAGGAAAAAGGUGGGGAAAAAAGUUAAAAAUGAGAUAAAACUCUCCUUAUCAGAAACCUUGUUUGUUUCUUUCUUUCUUUUAAGGUUGAUGCUGGAAAAAGGUUUCUGGUAUACUGCUAACCUCUCACCAAGCCUUACUGAAUCCUACUACAUGCUAAGGAAAUGCUGGGAAAAGUGACGAGUCAACUAAAUUUGCAAAGUCCUUUGUACUGCAACAAAGAUAAAGCAUUGAUCUAUACAUAGUGUCCAUUGUGCCAGUCACCUUUGGCAUCUCAUCCAGCAAAGAAUGGAAAGAACCAGGAAAGAAGAGAAUACCAGCGAUGCUUCUGGUGUGCCAUUCUAGAGGAAAAUGUGAAAUCUGUGGGGAACUUUAUUUACCAUUUAGUUUAUUCCCUCCUUAUACUUUAUUUACUUAUGCCAUUGUCUCCUUCAACAGCAUGACACUGACUACUGGACCCUAAUUGCUCAUCAGCACCUGAAAACCUUUUUAAGACAUAGGUCUGCCAUGUACUACCCUCAGAAAUCAUCAUUUAAUUAGUCUAGAAUGGACUAUCUGAUAUUGGUAUAUUUAAAAUCUGACCAAGUGAUGCUAAUGUGCAGCCAACCAGUAUUCUAUAGAAAGCAAGGCAGGUGGAAUUGGACAUCUGUAUCAUGUUUCAACUGCUAACCAAACAUAUAACAAUUAAAGGAGCAUUAUCCUCAAAAGAGAAAUGAUUAAAAUGCGCACCCAACAAAUCUUGAUGGAUUUUUAGCUACCUAUAGUCCCAAUUCCAAUAUUUUUCUAUUUCUAAAAGUACUGGAAUUGCUUCAAAGAGGCAUCUAUGAUGUCCCUGUCACUGCCCUAUGCCUACAGGUCAUGUUCCUCCUGGCAGCCCUCACCAACAGCACAAUCUCUAUUUAUGCUCCUUCAUAUCUGAAAACUAAAGCUCUCUAAAGAAGAGUUGUGCAUCUCUACACCAAGUCCCAAGGGCAACUAGUGCUGAUCUGCUGAAAGCUUCAUACAAGUGCAGUGUCCUGUCCCUCAGUUUUAUGGCUAACAGUUUCUGCUCUUUCCCUCAUCAUUGAAGAGGCAUUUCUAGAGGUGUUUCCACAACAGAAGACCUCAUGGAAGCAGUUUGGAAUCACAGAGGAAACUCAUCGAAGGCAUCUUUAACUUCAAUGUGAUCUGUGAGCAGUGAAGUUGGGCACCAAAACGAGAGAGGUAUUUGUGAAAAUGCGAUUUUGUUCCUGAUCUUGGCAACACAAAACAAAACCACACCACUGAUGGAGGAAAUAUCUUGAUGCUGGCACAUGGCUCAAAGACUUAUAGUUUUGGAAAGGGUAUUCUUGCUUUAACUUUUAAAUAUCUGUCAAGGAAAAAAAAUUGAAGAUAAAUGCAAAUUUUUAAAAAUUGGGGCUAACAGCACUCCUGAACACAUGCGAAUAGCUGAGGGGCUAAGUCAGUCCUGGGGAUGACAGGUCACAAACACUGCAGUGUGCUCUUCUUGAUAAUGACACAAACUCGCACUGGGUUUAAGCUUAAUUCAAAGCCAAGCCCUGGGUACUCUGUGAAAUAUAGCUUUGAAAGAAGCCAUUUUCUCCCAAACGCGGGAACUCUCCCAUCUUUCUUCAAAAGAUGGCUGUUUUUUAACAUCUUCCUUCAAGAAAGGAGAAGUCAUCGGUUAUUUUCAUUGUAAACGGUGUUUACAAGCUAUAUAUUUUUGCUAUUCCUUUCCUAACAUCAAACAAGCCAAAACAAUAUCCCUAUAAGUAUUUAAUCAUAGAGAAGCUUCUUCUAAACUCAUUCAUUUGUUCACUAAUAA